rnacentral:rRNA from 1 species
GAACUUUCCAGAGAUGGAUUGGUGCCUUCGGGAACUGUGAGACAGGUGCUGCAUGGCUGUCGUCAGCUCGUGUUGUGAAAUGUUGGGUUAAGUCCCGCAACGAGCGCAACCCUUAUCCUUUGUUGCCAGCGAUUAGGUCGGGAACUCAAAGGAGACUGCCAGUGAUAAACUGGAGGAAGGUGGGGAUGACGUCAAGUCAUCAUGGCCCUUACGACCAGGGCUACACACGUGCUACAAUGGCGCAUACAAAGAGAAGCGACCUCGCGAGAGCAAGCGGACCUCAUAAAGUGCGUCGUAGUCCGGAUUGGAGUCUGCAACUCGACUCCAUGAAGUCGGAAUCGCUAGUAAUCGUGGAUCAGAAUGCCACGGUGAAUACGUUCCCGGGCCUUGUACACACCGCCCGUCACACCAUGGG